UUACCUUUCUUCUGUUGGCCCACACCCUGGCCUGAAAAGAAGAGAGCCAACUUUGGGUGGAUUCUAAGAGCAAAUACACAUGCCAUGCCUGCUGUACAUCCAGCCGUGCAUUAAGAGCAGGAAGUGAAAAUCUCUGUAAGAUACUUAUUCCCUACUCUCUCCACAACAAAGCAUUUCAUACACAUCCCAUGAGCUCAUUCACCAAUCAAGGCACUUGAGGACAGGUGCUAAGUUAAGUGGAGCUGAGUGGGAAAGCAAAUCUCUGGGAACUGAAGUGGGCAGAAGAAGGCUUCAAGAGAGGAAAUGAUUUUCAGGCCUUGAGCAAGGCAUAUAUAGUUGGAUCAGAUGGAGAAGACAAGUGAGGACAUCAAAGUGGCAAAGUGUCUAUUGUGUUGGGGGAAAUAAUGGGAAGUCAAGUGGAGCUGGAGUGGUAGGUCCUCUCCACUGUCAAGUAGAUGUGUUACCCCUCGUGAAGGUGAGUGGGAGGCACAUGGUGGAAAAGAAAUGAGGGCUGUCCGUGAGCUGCAGGGGGACAAAAGCUUUGAAAUCACCUCAAGUUCCUUAUUCUUAAAGAAGCCUCUUGAAGGAUUCACAUUCAACAUCCCUGCCUACAACAGGCCUUUCUAAGGGUUCUGUGUUCUUGGGGUCUUGGUAACUCAUUCUAAACAGUGUGGCGAGUUCUGUACAGAAGGUUUGGAACUUCGAGGACUGCACCUAACGAUCACCUGGGGAGCUUUGAAAAUGAUGCCAAUGCUCACGCAGUACCUUGGACCUACUCAGUCAUUAUUGCUAGAGAUGCAGGGAUUGGGGUUUGUUGAAAAGUUUGUCGGAUGAUUUUCAUACCACUCAGCCAGGGAGGAAAAUAUUUUUAAAGACCCUUUUUGAGGAUGUCUUGAGACUCCAAGUACCGUGCCUUCCGAAGGCGUGACCUUCUAUUAUACGAAUUCUCCUCCUCUGCGCUCCUCUCUACCCCACUUGUAUGGGAAUAAGUCUCUCCAGAGACUCGCCGUGGCCUAGGACCAAGAUGUAGGCCAAGUGGAAACACACCAAAGUGAUUUAAUAGAAAAGAAUGCAAAUUGUAACCUGUUUUUAAAGCCGUGCAAUGCAGUGAACUUUAAUGGGAUUUGACAACAUCAUAUUAAGCACAACAACUACGCAUAAUGUACCGAAAAAUUGGACGUGAAAUUGGAAACAUAGCUGAGAACAAAGGCCCCUGAAUUAAAUUUGAGGGGCUGAGGGUUCCAUUCUGCUUUCGAGGAGGAGGGUGAUCUCCGUAGAGGCGCACCCUGGCCCAGCGGGUGGCUCUCUUACAAGGACACCUAGGGACGCCUCGGCGCAUCUCUGCCUUCCCAGAUCUACAGCCUCAUCUGCUGACCUUUUCUUCCCUUCGGGUUAUGCUGUCCGUCUUCCUGGGGCCGACACUGAUAUCAAGUCACUCUGGGACUAGCUUAUCUUCUGCCAAAGCGCUUUGAGGACUUAACACUUUCAGCCGUCCAACAGGAUCAUGAUUAAAAUGCAAUAAUCUGAUGAUUUUUCCAUAAAUAUUUUUUUGCUCUAUCAGCAUUAGGUUUUGAAUAAUUUAUUAUUCUUCCUUAAUAUACUCCUGGCGAUGAGGUUAAUUUG